ACCUAGGGAGGAAAGGUUUAGAAAAGAAGGAAGAAUCCUUAAGUGACUUAAAAAAAAAUGAGAAAAUCUGGAGUUGACUACAUUAAGAUUUUGUCCAGGAAGAAAAGACACAGAUUAGAUUGCACAAAGUAUAGAGAAGACAUACUUACCUACUUGUUUCAUUUGUAUCCAAAUAGAUUUUAGGCUUGUUUAGAGCAAUGCCUUCAUCUUACAGUUUUUUGGAUUUUAUCAGGCAAUUUCAUGUGGUUCAUCCUAAUACAUUUCUUUGUAUUUGCAAGCAUUUGGAAGACAUCGUGAACUCUUUGAAGGCAGAAACUAAAUGAAAUUCACCUUCAUAUUUACAGGGACCAGAAUGAGUAAAUGUUGAGAAUAGCUUUGGUAAAACAGUCAUCCUGAGUGAGGGACACAGAAGGAACCAUCAUUCCAGGGAAUGUACCAUGACUGGAGGUAGUAGGUAGCAGCAUAUGUAAGAAUUGUUGAGGCCAGUUCUACUGAAGGGGAAGAGCCAUCCACAAAGGAACUUAAGUGUUGAGACUACACUAAAAUGGCAAUGUAAAUUUAAUACAAUCAUAUGAGCUGAUUUGGUUUAACUUGCAUCUGAGAAAACAUACACUGGAGAAUAUAUGUUGAUUGUAUUGGAGGAGAGGUAAGUGUAUAUAAAGAAAAAUUUAAUUAUACCAUUGUAUGAAUAUAUGACAAUUUCUUUAUGUCUUCAUCAGCUCAUGGACAUUUGGUUGUUUCCAGUUUGGUCUAUCAUGAAUAAAGCUGAUAUGAACAUACCAGCAUUUUUUCAAAAUAAAAAUAUUGAGAUAUUUAUGUCAACAAGUAGGCAAAUGAAUACACCUACUUGAAAUUCACAGAAAUAGGUGGCAAGGUAGGAUUUUGGCUUUUAUUUAUUUAACUGUAGGCAAUCUUCAUCUUACAUAUUGGUUUGAGAGCCCAAUCUCCAUAUAAGAUGAAGUUUCACAAUAAUUGAUGUAGAAAGUGUUUUGUACACUAUAAGGUAGUAAACUGAUGG
rnacentral:lncRNA from 10 species